rnacentral:rRNA from 1 species
GGUGGCGCGAAGGGGUGGCACCGACGGGGGUGGGGCGGGGGAGUGAGGGGUGGUCACUGAUCACGACGGUUGGUUAGGGGUGGUCGCGACGGCUACCGCCGCUGUUCACUACCUCUCGGCGCCGCCGGCCGCAACCUCGCAACGUUGGUGCCGCUGUUCACUACCUCUAGGCCGGAAAGAAAAGAACCUUCGUCGGGGUCAAAAACGAUGGUUGCGGGAACGGAAAACGACCUUGAUCAUGUGCCGCCAUGUUCAAUUGUUGUCGUCGCUCGGCCUCUGCCCCCGCCGCUCGGCCUCUGCCCCAGCACCCCCUGCGACGUUGGUACUUACUGUCGCGCGACCUGGGAGGACACACACUCAACGCUGGUACCGUUCGCCUCCGUCGGCUCCGUUCACGGCACGUGCUCGCUGCCCGCUCGCCGUUCGCUCGCGCCCACUGCCCGCGUCACCGUUCACACCGUUCGUUCGUGCCCUUCUGCUCCUCUUCGCGCCCGCCGGCCGCUCGGAGUCCUAGACCGUAUACGCGUGUUACGGAAAAAAAGGAACAAAGGACACGCAAAACUGAAAACUUUACUUCAUUAGGCUACCAACCCUUUCAUACAUAGCCCACCAACACCGAACUGGCCAGGUUGACAAGCCGGCCACGCGGCCGCGGAUAGUCGCGG